AUGGCGUCCGCGGCCGCCACCUCCGCCCCGCUCCGCCUCCUCUCCUCCUCGCCCCUCUCCAGGCCGCUCCUGUCCAGGCCCCACCUCCUCACCCUCUCCCGCCCCGUCUCCUUCCAGCGCCUCGCCGCCAGGUCCGCCGCCUCCCCGACCCCCUCCACCUCCUCCUCCGCCCCCGCCCCCGUCGACCCGGCGCAGCUCCCCCCGGCGCUCAGGGACAUCAUCGCGCUCUUCCAGUCCGUGCCCGACGAGCGCACCCGCUACAAGCAGCUCCUCGCCUACGCCGCCCGCCUGCCGCCCAUGGACCCGGCGCUCAAGUCCGACGCCAACCGCGUCCGGGGCUGCGUCUCCCAGGUCUGGGUCCACGCCGCGCCGGAGGCGGAGGCCCCCGGCUGCGUCAGCUUCCAGGCCGACUCCGACGCGCAGCUCACCAAGGGCCUCGCCGCGCUGCUCGUGCUCGGCCUCUCCGGCGCGCCCGCCAGGGACGUCGCCAUGGUGCCCGUCGAGUUCAUCGAGAUGCUCGGGAUCAGGCAGAGCCUCUCGCCCUCCCGGAACAGCGGCCUGCUCAACAUGAUCAACCUCAUGAAGCUCAAGGCGCUGGAAAUCGCUGCGGGCCAGGAGGUGACUGGCGGCCAAGAAAUCCGCCAGGAGCGUACUGAAACGCCUGCCGUGGAGAAGGAGGAGCCUCAGUUUGAGGCUUUCGGUGGGCAAGCGCAUGAGAGUUCAGAGGCGGAGAGGCCUGAGGAGGAGGAAUUCGAGGAGGAACCGGCUGCUGUUGUGGAAGGAAAUGGCAGCCUUGGAGGUGGGAGGAAGGAGAGGAUAAGGGAUAGUUUGGAGAGAGGGCUUUCACCACUGGAGCUCAAGAUUGAGGACAUCUCGUAUCAACACAGUGGGCAUGCCGGGGUAGCAGGUAGCGAUGGAGAGACGCAUUUCAAUGUGCGGGUGGUGUCCAAGGAGUUUGAGGGGAAGAGCAUGCUCAAGAGACACAGGGCUGUGUAUGAUCUCCUGCAGGAUGAGCUCAAGAGUGGGCUGCACGCGCUGUCCAUCGAUGCAAAGACACCAUCUGAAGUCUAG
rnacentral:rRNA from 1 species